AUACUCUGGUUUCUCUUCAGAUCGAAUAAAUCUUUUGCCUUUUUUUCUAAAGAUUUCCGAGGAGAUGAUCAUCCAUGAGUUUUUUUAAAAAAAAAAUAAAAAGGAGUUUUUUU